GAAAAUAUGAAUUAAUGUCUAUAUGAAUAUCAAUUACAAACAUAUUGUAUUCUUUGUACUCGUUUUUUUAGAACCUGCUAAUUGAAAUGUAAUUGUUUUGGUCAGGUUGUUCAGGAAAAGUUAGGAGUUCAAGCUGAGGCAGGUGAGGUUGCAGGGUCUCCAGAUCAGGCUACUGAGGCUAGGUCUCCUUUAGAAGAUGGAAGAGGGAAGCAUAGCAAUAGGCCACAUCGGAUACAUGCUACAGUGAAAGAGGGCAUCAAGGAGCACAUUUUAUCUUUCCCAAGAACCCAGAACCACUACUCUCGGAUGAAGGGGGAUGUACACAGAGAAUACCUCAGCCCUGAUCUGAAUUUGUUGCGAAUGUACCGACUCUACAAAGAGAAGAAUACCACAUCAUCUGCAAAAUUCUGGGUUUAUAGGGACAUUUUCAAACAGCAGAGUCUCAAUUUCGGCCAACCCAGGAGUGACACCUGUGGCAAAUGUGACGCAUUCUUCACUAAGAUGUCAGCAGCAACAUCUGAAGAGGAGAAGAGGAAGAUUGCAGUUGAAAGUGAGUUGCACCAUCGAAAAGCCGAAAAGGCCUACACACAGCUUCAAAGUGACACUGAGUGGGCUAAAGCCAAUGUUGACUGCCAUGUCAUUUCUGUGGAUCUACAGGGGGUGAUGUACACCCCUAAUCUGACCCACUCCAAUGUCUACUACCAGCGGCAGCUGUCAAAUUUUAACCUUUGCAUCCAGGAACUUGGAAAAGAAGAUCCUGCAUACAUGUGUGUUUGGCAUGAGGGGAUUGCACACCGAGGUUCCAUUGAGGUAGCAAGCUGCAUAUUGAAGUGGGUGAAGACAAAAUUCACGCCACUCCCCAAACCAGAGGUGCAAGUUGAUCAUCUUCAGUGACAGAUGCUGUGGGCAGAAUAACAACUGGCGGAUGCUCAAUCUGAUGUCGAUGCUCAUCUCUAUGGGUUACUUUACCCAAGUUGAACAGAAGUUCAUGGUCUCUGGUCAUUCUUUUCUUCCUUGUGAUCGAUCUUUUGCCACCAUCGAGAAGAGGCGCAAGGUGUCAGUCCUUCAUACACCUGAUGAUGUUUCAAAGAUGAUACUUGAAGCACAACCAGCAAAACCAUUCAAGGUGAUGAGGAUGCAAUGUGAAGACAUCAGGCACCUUCCAGAUUCUGUCCUCAAGCGACCAGCUGGACUACAGAUCACCUCAGUGAGGUGGUUAAAAGUCACAGGUAUUGGGAAAGGAAUCGAUCGCAAACAUUGGCUCAUUCUAAGAUCCGAUGACAGUAUAUCACAGUUGAGGAUCCUUGGAAUCUGUACGCCAGACAGAGCCACAGUCUAUUUGAGGGAUGGAAAUCGUGGCUGAUCUCCAAACCAAAACAAGGAGCUACACCUCAACCUCCCUAUUUUGCAAGCCACUACCCUAGAGCAUAUGAGAGUCCUCUGCCCAUCAAAAAAACAAGUACCAAGAUCUGAUGACCAUGCUCAACUACUUGCCAGCUGCUGCACGCUCUUUUUAUAAAUCACUGCAGAGUGAAUAAUUUGAUGUUAAACCAAGCUACAUAAUUAACCGUUUUUUCUGUGAGUUUAUGAUCCCCUGAACCUGUAUAGUAUGUUGAAUCUGAAUACAUUUCAGAAAACAUGUCACCCCUAUUGUAGGAAUUUUCUAUGUGAAUCAAUUUGUGUAUGAUUUCAACCAGCACAAUAUAUUGAAUUAAUUUAAUUUUAAGAUGUUGUUCCUAGUGUAGAAAAUGUUAUGUACAAUGUGUUCUGUUGAGAAUGAUUUUGUGUGUGAUCAUUUGAACCUUUUUUAAAUCUGAAUUAAUUAAAAACAAACAAGUCAUCA